GCCUGGGUGGCUCAGUCGGUUGAGCGUCCGACUUCAGCUCGGGUCAUGAUUGCGCAGUUUGUGAGUUCGAGCCCCGCACCGGGCU
rfam:Felis catus isolate Cinnamon breed Abyssinian chromosome C2, whole genome shotgun sequence.